rnacentral:rRNA from 1 species
CAUAGCGACUAUCGUGGCAUAUCAAUAAGCGGAGGAAAAGAAACUAACUAGGAUUCCCUUAGUAACGGCGAGUGAAGCGGGAAGAGCUCAAAUUUGAAAUCUUCAAGGUUUUACCUUGACGAAUUGUAGUUUAAAGAAGUGUUUUCUGUUGGAGUUUUGGUAAAAGUUCUUUGGAAUAGGACAUCAUAGAGGGUGAGAAUCCCGUAUUUGACCAUUAUUUCCAACUUUGUGAUACACUUUCAAAGAGUCGGAUUGUUUGGGAAUGCAGUCCAAAAUGGGUGGUAAAUUUCAUCUAAAGCUAAAUACUUGGCGAGAGACCGAUAGCGAACAAGUACCGUGAGGGAAAGAUGAAAAGAACUUUGAAAAGAGAGUUAAACAGUACGUGAAAUUGUCAAAAGGGAAGCGUUUGACACCAGUGUUGUUUUCUCGAAAAUCAAUUAAAAAUGAUGGGAUUUUGUGUUGUAUUGACCUUAUCAAGCUUUCUUCACUCUUUUCUUAGUCUUUUUUAAUGCACUUUUCGUUUAACAAGUCAACAUCAGUUUCUUUUGUUGUAAAAGGUCAUUGGAAGGUGGCUUUUUCUUCGGAGAAAGUGUUUAUAGCCUUUGCUCUCUGCAAUCGGAGAGGAUUGAGGUCUGCAGCGUAGACUCCUUCGGGGUUAGAUACAUUUGUACUAAGCUAUAGUUCUUUAUAGACAACUUGUUGACUAUAAUCAAUCCUGUAACUUACUCGCUUAUGCUAUUUUACCUACGCUUAGGAUGUUGACGAGACUGUCGAUCUC